ACGAACGCUGGCGGCGUGGAUAAGACAUGCAAGUCGAACGGGAGAAUUGCUAGCUUGCUAAUAAUUCUCUAGUGGCGCACGGGUGAGUAACACGUGAGUAACCUGCCUCUUAGUGGGGGAUAGCCCUGGGAAACCGGGAUUAAUACCGCAUACGAUUGAAAGAUCAAAGCAGCAAUGCGCUAGGAGAUGGGCUCGCGGCCUAUUAGUUAGUUGGUGAGGUAACGGCUCACCAAGGCGAUGACGGGUAGCCGGUCUGAGAGGAUGUCCGGCCACACUGGAACUGAGACACGGUCCAGACACCUACGGGUGGCAGCAGUCGAGAAUCAUUCACAAUGGGGGCAACCCUGAUGGUGCGACGCCGCGUGGGGGAAUGAAGGUCUUCGGAUUGUAAACCCCUGUCAUGUGGGAGCAAAUUAAAAAGAUAGUACCACAAGAGGAAGAGACGGCUAACUCUGUGCCAGCAGCCGCGGUAAUACAGAGGUCUCAAGCGUUGUUCGGAAUCACUGGGCGUAAAGCGUGCGUAGGCUGUUUCGUAAGUCGUGUGUGAAAGGCAGGGGCUCAACCCCUGGAUUGCACAUGAUACUGCGAGACUAGAGUAAUGGAGGGGGAACCGGAAUUCUCGGUGUAGCAGUGAAAUGCGUAGAUAUCGAGAGGAACACUCGUGGCGAAGGCGGGUUCCUGGACAUUAACUGACGCUGAGGCACGAAGGCCAGGGGAGCGAAAGGGAUUAGAUACCCCUGUAGUCCUGGCAGUAAACGGUGCACGCUUGGUGUGCGGGGAAUCGACCCCCUGCGUGCCGGAGCUAACGCGUUAAGCGUGCCGCCUGGGGAGUACGGUCGCAAGAUUAAAACUCAAAGAAAUUGACGGGGACCCGCACAAGCGGUGGAGUAUGUGGCUUAAUUCGAUGCAACGCGAAGAACCUUACCUGGGCUUGACAUGUAAUGAACAACAUGUGAAAGCAUGCGACUCUUCGGAGGCGUUACACAGGUGCUGCAUGGCCGUCGUCAGCUCGUGUCGUGAGAUGUUUGGUUAAGUCCAGCAACGAGCGCAACCCCUGUUGCCAGUUACCAGCACGUCAAGGUGGGGACUCUGGCGAGACUGCCCAGAUCAACUGGGAGGAAGGUGGGGACGACGUCAGGUCAGUAUGGCCCUUAUGCCCAGGGCUGCACACGUACUACAAUGCCCAGUACAGAGGGGGCCGAAGCCGCGAGGCGGAGGAAAUCCUGAAAACUGGGCCCAGUUCGGACUGUAGGCUGCAACCCGCCUACACGAAGCCGGAAUCGCUAGUAAUGGCGCAUCAGCUACGGCGCCGUGAAUACGUUCCCGGGUCUUGUACACACCGCCCGUCACAUCAUGGAAGCCGGUCGCACCCGAAGUAUCUGAAGCCAACCGCAAGAAGGCAGGGUCCUAAGGUGAGACUGGUAACUGGGAUG
rnacentral:rRNA from 1 species